UACUCCUACGGGAGGCAGCAGUAGGGAAUCUUCCGCAAUGGGCGAAAGCCUGACGGAGCAACGCCGCGUGAGUGAUGAAGGUCUUCGGAUCGUAAAACUCUGUUAUUAGGGAAGAACAUAUGUGUAAGUAACUGUGCACAUCUUGACGGUACCUAAUCAGAAAGCCACGGCUAACUACGUGCCAGCAGCCGCGGUAAUACGUAGGUGGCAAGCGUUAUCCGGAAUUAUUGGGCGUAAAGCGCGCGUAGGCGGUUUUUUAAGUCUGAUGUGAAAGCCCACGGCUCAACCGUGGAGGGUCAUUGGAAACUGGAAAACUUGAGUGCAGAAGAGGAAAGUGGAAUUCCAUGUGUAGCGGUGAAAUGCGCAGAGAUAUGGAGGAACACCAGUGGCGAAGGCGACUUUCUGGUCUGUAACUGACGCUGGUGUGCGAAAGCGUGGGGAUCAAACAGGAUUAGAUACCCUGGUAGUCCACGCCGUAAACGAUGAGUGCUAAGUGUUAGGGGGUUUCCGCCCCUUAGUGCUGCAGCUAACGCAUUAAGCACUCCGCCUGGGGAGUACGACCGCAAGGUUGAAACUCAAAGGAAUUGACGGA
rnacentral:rRNA from 1 species